AUAUAAAAUUUAUUACUUAUAAAAAUUUUUAUUUUUAUGAAAAAAUUAAAAUUAUUACAUAACUAAGUUAAAUUUGUUACAUAACUUAAUUAAAUUUGUUACAUAACUUAAUUAAAUUUGUUACAUAACUUAAUUAAAUUUGUUACAUAACUUAAUUAAAUUUGUUACAUAACUUAAUUAAUUUUAUUAUAUAAAAAAAAUUAAUUUUAUUAUAUAACUAAAAUAUAUUUUUUUCUGGAUAAACCUCUAUCCUUCUUCAAAAAAAAAAAAAAAAAAAAAAAAAAAAAAAAAAAAAAAAAAAAAAGAAAGAAGAUAACCAUGCAACCACAAGUAGAUCAACCGAAAAAAACGGAAACCGAAGAUAAUAAGGCUCUUAGCAUUGUGAGAAGAGAUGAAAGGCUAAUUAGACAGAUACAGUUUGCAUAUAAAAACAGAUAUAUUAUUAGUAUUGAUGGUGUUAGUCGAAGUGGUGUUAUAAAAGGAGCAAAGCACUACUUAGAUUUUUUAAAUUGUAACCGUUUGGUUGAUUAUAGAACUUCUUGUGUUACGUUACAGUUAGAAAUAAAAAUAAAAAGCAUUGACCCAUCCGCAAAAACACAACAAUGUAAAGACACAUAUACGUACUUAAAUGUUAAUCCAAUUGAUAUAAUGGCAAAAGCUCAGAAUAAGUUACACUAUGAAUAUUCAUAUGUACAACAAGAAGAUUUUAGUUUUUUAGAUAAAUUAGGAAUCUUUGAGAGAGCUGAUUAUCAUGUGGAAAAGUCACGUUUAUUGAAAGGUAAGAUUGUUCAAUGUGGACAGUACAGAUAUAGAAUAGUUAAAGAAAUAAGAAAAGCUAUAUAUGGGACUGUAUAUUUAUGUGAAGCGUUGGAUAGUUAUGGAAAUAGUUUUUCACCAAUUCGAAAAGCUAUUAAAGUUAUAUCGAAAGAAGCAGUUGAAAUAUGGAGAUUCAAAUCACCAGAAGAUCCAUUAUCGGAAUAUUUUUUUAGAGAUGGCAUGAGUGGUCAUAGUAAUAUAUUAAGUUUAGAUUGUAUAUUUGAUGAUGAUACUUAUAUUUAUAUGAUUAUGCCUUUUGCUUGUCAUGGUGAUAUGACUGAUAUAGCGAAAAGAAAAAAUACACCACUUACUGAAGAUGAAUGUAGGUAUAUGUUUCUUCAAAUUUUGUUAGGUUUACGUUUUUUACAUGCAAAAAAUUUGGCUUUAAAAGAUUUAUCUUUGGAAAAUGUAUUAUUGUUUGAAAAUGAAGAAAAUGGAUUAGUUUAUCCAGUUAUAAAUGAUCCAGGUCAGGCAACUUAUUUUCAUUUAGAUGGAAAAGGAGAAGUUAAGUUAGAGCCAUAUCAUAAAAUUUUUGGUAAGAUUAAUAGACCACCUGAGAUUAAUCAACAGAUAGCUUUUGAUCCAGUAAAAGUGGAUAUGCAUAAUAUUGGAUAUAUGUUGUAUUAUAGUUUAACAAAACAUUAUUUAUUUACUUAUGCAGCACCAGAUGAUAUAGAAUGGAAUUUACUUUUUAAUAAAAAUUAUGUAGAAUUAUUAAAACGAACAAAUGGAACACAUUUAUCAAAUGAAGUAUUAGAUUUAAUUUUUCAUUUAGUAGAACCGAAUUUUAAAAAAAGGUAUGAUUUACAUAAUGCUUUAAAUCAUAUUUGGUUUAAAGGACUUCUUUCACCUGUACAUAAUUAUAACAUAUAUUUAGGUUCUGAACAUUCUGUCACAUAUUCUGAUGAAAAUAGAGUGAAAUUUUUAUCCGAAGUAGAACUUUAUACUAGAAGUAAUAAUAUUAUUUUUGAAAAAAAUUCGAAUGUUGAAUUUAUGAUUACAGAAAGAUUUUCUUUUACACCUAUUAUGAAUAAAGAUGUG
ensembl:lncRNA